AUCAACCGAGAUUCCCCCAGUAGCGGCGAGCGAACGGGGAGCAGCCCGGAGUCUGAAUCAGCUUGUGUGUUAGUGGAACGGUCUGGAAAGUCCGACGGUACAGGGUGAUAGUCCCGUACACGAAAGCACACAUGCUGUGAACUCGAAGAGUAGGGCGGGACACGUGGUAUCCUGUCUGAAUAUGGGGGGACCAUCCUCCAAGGCUAAAUACUCCUGACUGACCGAUAGUGAACCAGUACCGUGAGGGAAAGGCGAAAAGAACCCCGGCGAGGGGAGUGAAAAAGAACCUGAAACCGUGUACGUACAAGCAGUGGGAGCCUCUUUAUGGGGUGACUGCGUACCUUUUGUAUAAUGGGUCAGCGACUUAUAUUCUGUAGCAAGGUUAACCGUAUAGGGGAGCCGAAGGGAAACCGAGUCUUAACUGGGCGUUAAGUUGCAGGGUAUAGACCCGAAACCCGGUGAUCUAGCCAUGGGCAGGUUGAAGGUUGGGUAACACUAACUGGAGGACCGAACCGACUAAUGUUGAAAAAUUAGCGGAUGACCUGUGGCUGGGGGUGAAAGGCCAAUCAAACCGGGAGAUAGCUGG
rnacentral:rRNA from 1 species